AGAUUGAACGCUGGCGGCAUGCCUAACACAUGCAAGUCGAACGGGAGUAGCAAUACUCUAGUGGCGGACGGGUGAGGAAUACGUAGGAAUUUGCCCUUAAGUGGGGGAUAACCCGGGGAAACCCGGAUUAAUACCGCAUGACCUCGAAAGAGCAAAGUGGGGGAUCGCAAGACCUCACGCUUUUGGAGAAGCCUACGUCGGAUUAGCUAGUUGGUGAGGUAAUGGCUCACCAAGGCGACGAUCCGUAACUGGUCUGAGAGGAUGAUCAGUCACACCGGAACUGAGACACGGUCCGGACUCCUACGGGAGGCAGCAGUGGGGAAUAUGGACAAUGGGCGCAAGCCUGAUCCAGCAAUGCCGCGUGUGUGAAGAAGGCCUUCGGGUUGUAAGACUACGUUUAAGUUAGGAAAGUAAAAACUCGACUACUAACACAGUGUAGUCGUUAGACCGGUUACGACACGAAUAACGACCGACCGACUAACUC
rnacentral:rRNA from 1 species